rnacentral:pre_miRNA from 1 species
ACUCAACUCACUUGGGCAUCUGAUUAAAAUGCAAAUCUUGAUUUAGGAAUUCUGGUGUCCUGCAUGUCUAAUAGGCUUCCAGGUGGAGCCAAU